CUCAGUAACACGCGGACAAUCUGCCCUAAGGUGAGGGAUAAUCUCGGGAAACUGAGCAUAAUACCUCAUAGGUCAUGGAUGCUGGAAUGCUUCGUGGCCAAAAGCUCCGGCGCCUUAGGAUGAGUCUGCGGCCUAUCAGGUCGUAGUGGGUGUAACGGACCCACUAGCCAACGACGGGUACGGGCGUUGGGAGACGUCGCCCGGAGGUGGAUUCUGAGACACGAAUCCAGGCCCUACGGGGCGCAGCAGUCGCGAAAACUUGUCAAUGCGGGAAACCGCGAACAGGGGAGUCCAAGUGCUUGCACUUUGUGUAAGCUGUUCGGUUGUCUAAAAAACAGCCGAAGGAAGGGCUGGGUAAGACAGGUGCCAGCCGCCGCGGUAAUACCUGCAGCCCGAGUGGUGAUCGAUUUUAUUGAGCCUAAAGCGUCCGUAGCCGGUCUAGUAAACCCUUGGGUAAAUUGGGCAGCUUAACUGUCCGAAUUCCGAGGGGACUGCUAGACUUGGGACCGGGAGAGGUCAGAGGUACUCCAGGGGUAGGGGCUAAAUCCGAUAUGGUUUUGUGCCAUUCGGUUAGCAUUCCUGUAAUCCUUGGGGGACCACCAGUGGCGAAGGCGUCUGACUAGAACGGAUCCGACGGUAAGGGACGAAACCCUGGGGCGCGAACCGGAUUAGAUACCCGGGUAGUCCAGGGCGUAAACGCUGCAGGCUUGGUGUUGGGGACCCUACGAGGGUGCCCAGUGCCGGAGUGAAGAUGUUAAGCCUCCGCUUGGGGAGUACGUCCGCAAGGAUGAAACUAAAG
rnacentral:rRNA from 1 species